GUCCCGAUGGCACAGUGGUUAGUGCCCCGCCGUUCAAUGGACCAUAUUCGAUUUUUGGGCAGCGGAUAUCCUGGGUUCAAUUCCCAGUCGGGACC